UUGCUUCAGCAGCAAAUAUACUAAAAUUGGAACGAUAGAGAGAAGAUUAGAAUGGCCCCUGUGACAGAAUGACAUGCAAAUUCAUAAAGUGUUCUAUAUUUUC